GUGCCUGUAGCUCAGCAGGAUAGAGCGUCCGCCUCCUAAGCGGAAGGUCGUGGGUUCGAAUCCCGCUAGGCACG
rnacentral:tRNA from 2 species